UACGGAAGGCAGCAGUGGGGAAUAUUGCACAAUGGGCGCAAGCCUGAUGCAGCCAUGCCGCGUGUAUGAAGAAGGCCUUCGGGUUGUAAAGUACUUUCAGUCGUGAGGAAGGUGUUAAGGUUAAUAACCUUAGCAAUUGACGUUAGCGACAGAAGAAGCACCGGCUAACUCCGUGCCAGCAGCCGCGGUAAUACGGAGGGUGCGAACGUUAAUCGGAAUUACUGGGCGUAAAGGGCACGCAGGCGGUUAAUUAAGUUGGAUGUGAAAUCCCCGGGCUUAACCUGGGAAUGGCAUUCAAGACUGGUUAGCUAGAGUCUUGUAGAGGGGGUAGAAUUCCAUGUGUAGCGGUGAAAUGCGUAGAGAUGUGGAGGAAUACCGGUGGCGAAGGCGGCCCCUGGGACAAAGACUGACGCUCAUGUGCGAAAGCGUGGGGAGCAAACGAGGAUUAGAUACC
rnacentral:rRNA from 1 species